rnacentral:sRNA from 2 species
ACACGCGGGGAUGGGGUGCUAGUGGUCCAUUCAAGGUAGCGUACAGCGAUGUGGUCGUAGCCUGAUUGUACGAGGGAUUUGAUAUUCGCACUGCCAAUAGCAGAACCACCGGUAUUCAUACCGCUGUUCACCGCACUAUUUGCGACAGUGUUGUGGCCAUUAUCAGCGCCCGUACUACUGGUGCUCAAAGGUGUGGGAGUGUCGUUGUUAGGAGUUGCCAUUUGAGAAUAUGUGAACAGUUCCCACUCUGUUUCCCUUGGAAAUUUUAAGGAUCGCACCGGAAAGGGUUUCAGAGUAGCCGUCUCUCCAGAGAUGAUGACGAAGAGCAGGAAAAAUCAACUUAAUGAAUUCUCAUCUCUGUCUUGAAUAUGGCUGGGUAGGGAAAUAUUGUGCAGCCGCUUCUUACCCAAGCCCCAGCUUUUCGUUGAAUCAUGGUAUGACGACGUGCAUCUCAACUAAAGUUGAGUCAUAAGCAGGGAUUAGUUAGUGGAUAGCGUUUCGGUUUGCAACUGCAUAAUCGGGAAACAUAUAUAUAGUUAGCCUGCAUUCGGCAAGCUUUCACGGAAAAGUCGGUAGAAAGAGGAGUCCUUAGGGAUAAAAGGAGAGGCGACUUGGUUGAGGUCCCUGAAGCAACAUGGGUAGAA